UUAAUUCUGCUAUCAGAAAGUAGGGUUUAAACAUCUAUUAAACUAUUCAGAACUGUUGUUAAGAACUCCCACAUUUAGUUACUGUAAUAAUUUGUUGCCAAUAAAUCCUUUAACAUGCUUUGUUGUAUGAAGCUCAUGAAUUGUUUUUUUUUUUUUUUCAGUUUUGAAUUCUUUGCAACAUACUGGCCUUUCUUUUUACAUUUUUACUAAUAUACAUUUUUCUUUUCUGCAGUUGCUUAUCUUGACGUUCCAAGUGAACAAGAAAGAGAGAGAACUACAGUGCUUGGUUCCCUGUUAUUGCCUGGUAGGGGUGACCCGAGGCCUUGCUACCAGGUUACAAGUUUACCUGGUUUUGAAGAUCUCUCUUUUUCUUUAUUCCCAAUCCCCCUUUUCUAUCAUCUCUUUUUUCAUCCAAUCCCCUUUCUAUCCACUUGCACCUGCAAGUACAACGAUAAAGGGCAUUCAGUUGAACCCCUGAAAACGGAACUCUUGAAAAAUAACCCCUUGAAAUCUAAACUCUUGAAAAAUAACCUCUUGAAAUCUAAACUCUUGAAAAGGAAGGGCAUUCAGUUGACCCCUGAAAAACGGCUUCAUAGGGCAUUCAGUUGACCCCUGAAAAACGGCUUCAUAGGGCAUUCAGUUGACCCCUAAACAACGGUUUGAAAAGGGCAUUCAGUUGACCCCUAAACAACGGUUUGAAAAGGGCAUUCAGUUGACCCCUGGAAACGGAAAUCUUGAAAAAAGAUCCCCUUGGCAAACUUGAUUCCCUCAUUUAACCCUGUAUAGUGUUUCCUUGUGAUUGGUUUCAGGUCAGACAAUUCUCUAAAGAAGCAAACUCUUCACCCGAAGACAGUCAUCACAUUGACCGCUGCAUCUGGAGCUGAAGACACACACAUUCACAUUAUCGACUGAAGCUGCAGUUACCUGUCAUUUCUUAUAGCAGUAUAUUGUGAUUUAAAAACAUACAGCUUCUUACAGUGUGUACAUACCACAUUUAAUACAUUUAGUAAAAAAUACAGUCUAUUAAAAUAUUUGUUGCUGAACCUUUUUACACAUUAAAUACGUAAUUAUUUCAUAAAAAGUUAUUUCUUUUAGCAGUUGUCUUUUGUAAGCUUGUUUCCUACAGAGGUAUAAUCACAUUUUUGGGUUGUGAGUGUGUUUUAAGGAGAUACAAUUGCAUCUAGAUACUGGAUUGUAGUAUAUAAGAAAGCUGUUUGAGUGUACAAUUUAAGGGGAAAAUUACGUUUUGAGAAGUUAUUAAUAAAAAAAGAAUUUUUACAUAUA